rnacentral:rRNA from 1 species
CACGUAGGGUCCGAGCGUUGUCCGGAAUACUGGGCGUAAAGCGUGCGCAAGCGGUUGGGUCAGUCGCUGGUGAAAGCCCCACGCUCAACGUGGGAAUGGCCAACGAGACGGCCCGACUGGAGGCAGGGAGAGGCCGGUGGAAUUCCGGGUGUAGUGGUGAAAUGCGUAGAUAUCGGGAGGAACACCAGUGGCGAAGGCGGCUUCCUGGCCUGUUCUUGACGCUGAGGCGCGAAAGCUAGGGGAGCAAACGGG